rnacentral:rRNA from 1 species
UACUGUGAAACUGCGAAUGGCUCAUUAAAUCAGUUGUCGUUUAUUUGAUAGUACCUUACUACUUGGAUAACCGUGGUAAUUCUAGAGCUAAUACUUGCUAUACACCCCGACUUUUGGAGGGGUGUAUUUAUUAGAUAAAAAACCAAUGCCCUUCGGGGCUCCUUGGUGAUUCAUAAUAACUUAACGAAUCGCAUAGCCUUGUGCUGGCGAUGGUUCAUUCAAAUUUCUGCCCUAUCAACUUUCGAUGGUUAGGUCUUGGCUAACCAUGGUUUCAACGGGUAACGGGGAAUUAGGGUUCUAUUCCGGAGAGUGAGCCUGAGAAACGGCUAACACAUCCAAGGAAGGCAGCAGGCGCGCAAAUUACCCAAUCCCGACACGGGGAGGUAGUGACAAUAAAUACUGAUCCAGGGCUCUUUUGGGUCUUGGAAUUGGAAUGAGUACAAUUUAAAUCCCUUAACGAGGAACAAUUGGAGGGCAAGUCUGGUGCCAGCAGCCGCGGUAAUUCCAGCUCCAAUAGCGUAUAUUAAAGUUGUUGCAGUUAAAAAGCUCGUAGUUGAACCUUGGGCCUGGCUGGUUGGUCCGCCUCACCGCGUGUACUGAUCCGGCCGGGCCUUUCCUUCUGGGGAAUCGCAUGCUCUUCAUUGGGUGUGUCGAGGAUCCAGGACUUUUACUUUGAAAAAAUUAGAGUGUUCAAAGCAGGCCUAUGCUCGAAUACAUUAGCAUGGAAUAAUAGAAUAGGACGUGUGGUUCUAUUUUGUUGGUUUCUAGGACCGCCGUAAUGAUUAAUAGGGAUAGUCGGGGGCAUCAGUAUUCAAUUGUCAGAGGUGAAAUUCUUGGAUUUAUUGAAGACUAACUACUGCGAAAGCAUUUGCCAAGGAUGUUUUCAUUAAUCAGUGAACGAAAGUUAGGGGAUCGAAGACGAUCAGAUACCGUCGUAGUCUUAACCAUAAACUAUGCCGACUAGGGAUCGGGCGAUGUUACUUUUUUGACUCGCUCGGCACCUUACGAGAAAUCAAAGUCUUUGGG